rnacentral:lncRNA from 1 species
UUGUUAAAUUAGCAGAAUCACAGCUCAUAUUUGCAUUGUCUUCAGUCACUAUACGGUUAGCAAAGUUUUGCCUUAUAAACAAGAAUAGCUAAAUAUAACUGAAUAUUAAGGUUUUGGUAUUGUAGGAGAGAAAAAAAGUAACAUCUUUUCCUCAUUCAUUGCAAUGUUCACAGCUGACACUCCUGUAACAAGACAGAUUAACAAGAGAAAAGCGUAACAAAUUUAUUUAAUCAAAGUUGUAUAUGAUAUGGGAGCCUUCAGAAAUUAAGACCCAAAGACCCAGGGAAAACUGAAUUUCUCUGGCAAGUCUAAUGAAAAAAAUGGAUAGUUGUUGAGAAACAUGGCUGGACAAAAAGGGUAUUAUCUAAUGUUAAUAAACUGGGAGGAACUUAACAAGGCCUGUUUGUUCAGAUUCUUCUUGGCCUUUCUAUGUAGCAUUCUUUCUUCUCGGGCAUGAGAUAGGACCAUUCCGUGUUUGAGACCAGCCUGGACAACAUAGGGAGAUCCCACCUUUACAAAGUUUUUAAAAAAAAUUAGCUGGUGUUGUGGUGGUACAUGCCUGUAGUUCCAGCUACUCGGGAGACUGAGGUGGGAAGAUUGCUUGGGCCUGGGAGGUUGAGGCUGCAGUGGGCUGUGAUCAUGCUACUGUAUUUUAGCCUGGGCAACAGAGUGAGACCCUGUCUCAAAAAAAAAAAAAAAAAAGAAAGAAAAGAAAAGAAAGGAAAAUAAAAAGAAAGAAAAAGAAAGGAAAGGAAAUAAAGAUAAGGUUUAGUAAAAAGAUUUAAAAUUCUACACAAUCAUUCUAUAUAGGUUCUUAGCCUUAUGUUUCUUUAUAGUAUAUGUGAAACCUUAUUAUUUAUUUGUAUGUUAAUUGCUUUCUUCUGUAAAAUAUAAGUUCUAAAGAGAAGAACCUUAUCUUGUUAACUGCUGUAAACAUAGAGCUUAGAAUCAUGCUCAGCUUAUGGUAAAGUAAGCAUUUUUCAUUGACUUAUCGAGUAGUGAGUGGGUAAUGAACUGAUUUAAUAGUGGGUAAUUAAGAAAAUUAGAAAAGACUUCAAAAUCUUUACUUAACCAAGCGCUUAACACUAUCAAGCUGUCUAAAGAGUGUUGCUUAAACUAAAGUAUUUCCCAAAGAACUCUAAGGGUGUUUUUUUGAGUGGCUGCUCUAUUUAGGAUUGAAUUAUUACAGUAUUCCCACUGUCUGCUCUGAACUAUCUUAUAUCUCCUGGACUAUAGCAUGAGGCAGAGAAGGAACUGUCAGCAGCAGAUUACUACAAUUGCUCUGAUCCCCAUCAAUAGUGAGCAUGAACUAGUAUUGCUUCCUGUCAGAGAAACAAAAGUAAACACCUAAAAGCAUCAGUUAAGACAGUUUUAAGUUGUUGCUUCAAGAAAGUGGCAAACAGGGAGGAGGGGAAGAACUGGUGGUUUUUGGAAUAAUCUUUGCAGAACUAUUUGACUUCUUAUACUUUGUGCAUACAUUAAUAUAUCUUUGAUAGAAGUUUAAAGAAAAAAGAAAAAGAAAACUAUUGCCUUAAUGGAGGGCAGAUAGCAAAGUGGUUACUUAGACCUGGAGCAAGUUACUUAGCCUCUAUUCUUUAGUUUCCUAACCUAUAUAUGAAAAUAUCGGUGUCUACCUUAUUGUGAUGUUUUGAGGAUUAAAUGAGGUAAUACAUGUGUAUCAUUUAAAUACUCCAAGUUUUAAGUGUUAUUUCUACUUACUGAAUGUUAUUUUUAUUACUUGUAUUCUUGUUACUUUUAGAAAAUGUUUUUAGCAUAUUA